rnacentral:rRNA from 1 species
CCCGUUAGCGGCGAGUGAGCGGCAGAGCUCAGAUUUGAAUCGUGUUUCGGCACGAGUUGUAGAGUGUAGGCGGGAGUCUCUGUGGAGCGCGGUGUCCAAGUCCCUUGGAACAGGGUGCCUGAGAGGGUGAGAGCCCCGUAGGGUGCUGCGCGAAGCUUUUGAGGCCCUGCUGACGAGUCGAGUUGUUUGGGAAUGCAGCUCCAAGCGGGUGGUAAAUUCCAUCUAAGGCUAAAUAUUGGCGAGAGACCGAUAGCGAACAAGUACUGUGAAGGAAAGAUGAAAAGCACUUUGAAAAGAGAGUGAAACAGCACGUGAAAUUGUUGAAAGGGAAGGGUAUUGGGC